rnacentral:tRNA from 1 species
UAAUGAAUGAGCUGGUAUGGAAACCUACUAAGUGAUAACUUUCAAAUCCAGAGAAACCCCGGAAUUAAUAAUAGGGGCAACCCUGAGCCAAAUCCUGUUUUYCGRAAACCAACGGUUUCGCAAAAGAAAAAGGGAUGUGUGCAGACACACAGGGGGCCUGUUCUAACAGUGGUUACUGCAGGAAACUUUCYAUCRAACAAGUCCCUUCCCC